GAGAAAUACAGUACGGGGCCACUAUGUAUGAGGCGUUAUUCUGGUGUGUGUUAUAGUGUGGGGUCAUUAUAUAUGAGGGGUUAUUCUGGUGUGUGUUAUAGUGUGGGGUCAUUAUAUAUGAGGGGUUAUUCUGGUGUGGGUUAUAGUGUGGGGUCAUUAUAUAUGAGGGGUUAUUCUGGUGUGAGUUAUAGUGUGGGGUCAUUAUAUAUGAGGGUUAUUCUGGUGUGUGUUAUAGUGUGGGGUCAUUAUAUAUGAGGGGUUAUUCUGGUGUGUGUUAUAGUGUGGGGUCAUUAUAUAUGAGGGGUUAUUCUGGUGUGUGUUAUAGUGUGGGGUCAUUAUAUAUGAGGGUUAUUCUGGUGUGGGGUCAUUAUAUAUGAGGGGUUAUUCUGGUGUGUGUUAUAGUGUGGGGUCAUUAUAUAUGAGGGUUAUUCUGGUGUGUGUUAUAGUGUGGGGUCAUUAUAUAUGAGGGGUUAUUCUGGUGUGUGUUAUAGUGUGGGGUCAUUAUAUAUGAGGGGUUAUUCUGGGGUGUGUUAUAGUGUGGGGUCAUUUUAUAUGAGGGUUAUUCUGGGGUGUGUUAUAGUGUGGGGUCAUUAUAUAUGAGGGGUUAUUCUGGUGUGUGUUAUAGUGUGGGGUCAUUAUAUAUGAGGGGUUAUUCUGGUGUGUGUUAUAGUGUGGGGUCAUUAUAUAUGAGGGUUAUUCUGGGGUGUGUUAUAGUGUGGGGUCAUUAUAUAUGAGGGGUUAUUCUGGUGUGUGUUAUAGUGUGGGGUCAUUAUAUAUGAGUGUUAUUCUGGUGUGUGUUAUAGUGUGGGGUCAUUAUAUAUGAGGGUUAUUCUGGUGUGUGUUAUAGUGUGGGGUCAUUAUAUAUGAGGGGUUAUUCUGGUGUGGGGUCAUUAUAUAUGAGGGUUAUUCUGGUGUGGGGUCAUUAUAUAUGAGGGGUUAUUCUGGUGUGUGUUAUAGUGUGGGGUCAUUAUAUAUGAGGGUUAUUCUGGUGUGAGUUAUAGUGUGGGGUCAUUAUAUAUGAGGGGUUA